UGAGUAAGCUAAAUGGUCGCGCAUACAAAACUGAAAAGUUGUAUGUGAGGAAAGUCCGAGCUCCAUAGGGUAGGAUGCCAGAUAACGUCUGGUGGAGGCGACUCCAAGGACAGUGCAACAGAAAUAAACCGCCAAGUUUUCUUGGUAAGGAUGGAAAGGCGAGGUAAGAGCUCACCGCCCUUUUGGCAACAAAAGGGGCACAUGUAAACCCCAUCCGGAGCAAAACCGCAUAGGAGAGCAAUUAGCGGUAACCCGUCGCGCUCUCGGGUAGGUUGCUAGAGCUUACUGGUGACAGUAAGUCGAGAUAGAUGACCAUUCAAGACAGAACUCGGCUCAUCGGCUUGCUCAUUUA
rnacentral:RNase_P_RNA from 1 species